rnacentral:tRNA from 1 species
ACAUCAGUGGUGUAAUGGUUAGCAUGCUCGCCUCGAGUGCAAUAGAUCGUGGGUUCAAGCCCGAUCGGGUCAA